rnacentral:lncRNA from 1 species
GACCUGCAGAGGUCCCUUCCAACCUCAACCAUUCUGUGGUUCUGAUUCUCUGACUUUGUGACAUCAUUUUAGAGCACAACUGAAGCAAUACUGCAACUUGUGGUUUGUCUAACUGUAAUUUAGUUUUAGCAAAGCUUUCAAGAGACUGGAGAGAAGUGAUGCCAAGGAUGCCAAAGAAUUUCAGAAGAGCUAGCCUGAAAUUCGUCACGAUCUGAUCUGGGUAAUCUGAGCAUCAAAACAAAUGGACAAGUAAUUUAAUAAGGGGUGAAAGAUGUCUAGCUCAAGGUGGAAUCAGUCCAUUAAGAAAUGAAGUUCAGCAGAUCCAAACAAAAGAUGAAAGAACUCCUACAGGCAACAAAGCUCAAACUGAUCAAGCCAAAAACAAUAUGCAGAUCUUCAAAUAAGAGAUGAUGGAGCUACCUCACAAAGCCUGGAAAGAAGGGAACCACACGAUUCUUUUGAAGAAAGUGAAAAGUGCCCAUGGAUGCACUGAAGACUUUCCUUGUUGAAUUUGAACAUGUUUUACAAAUUGUCUGUAGAAACAUCAACUGCAUGACCUUGAAUUCACCUGUGUUCCGUUUCUUGUCAAAGGGGCAUACCUUACAUCAUUCUCAUUCUCCACUGCAUUCUUCAGUAUGUUCUGCUUGUAAAGAUAAAAAUCCCAUGAAGAGCUUGCUGAUAAAAUAAAAAACUUUCUGGAG